rnacentral:rRNA from 1 species
AUUGAACGCUGGCGGCAUGCCUAACACAUGCAAGUCGAACGGUAACAGGAGAGAGCUUGCUCUCUUGCUGACGAGUGGCGGACGGGUGAGUAAUGUAUAGGGAUCUGCCUGACAGUGGGGGACAACAGCCGGAAACGGCUGCUAAUACCGCAUACGCUCUACGGAGGAAAGUGGGGGGACCUUCGGGCCUCACGCUGACAGAUGAACCUAUAUCAGAUUAGCUAGUUGGUGGGGGUAAAGGCCUACCAAGGCGACGAUCUGUAGCUGGUCUGAGAGGAUGAUCAGCCACACUGGGACUGAGACACGGCCCAGACUCCUACGGGAGGCAGCAGUGGGGAAUAUUGGACAAUGGGGGGCAACCCUGAUCCAGCAAUGCCGCGUGUGUGAAGAAGGCCUUCGGGUUG